UAAUAUAUAUUACAGUAUAGCUCCCCGUGCAUGACAAGCAUAAGGAGGUACUUAACCUAUAGCCUAGGGCCUAGGCUAGAAUAUUAUAAAAAAAUCACUUAGAUGCAAAAACAUGUUUAGGAAAUUCGAGACAUCAAAAAUGCCCAAUUUUUAAGGUGGUGCGUAAUGGGCUGUAUACAGGGUGUAACAAAAAUACAGGUCAUAAAUUAAAUCACAUAUUCUGGGACCAAAAAUAGUUCGAAUGAACCUAACUUACCUUAGUACAAAUAUGCACAUAAAAAAAGUUACAGCCCUUUGAAAUUACAAAAUGAAAAUAGAUUUUUUCGAUUAUAUCGAAAACUAUUAGCGAUUUUUUAUUGAAAAUGGACAUGUGGCAUUAUUAUGGCAGGAAUAUCUUAAAGAAAAAUUAUGGUGAAAUUUCCCUAACACACAACAUUCCAGGAAUGGACUACCAAAGUUCUAUCAAUAUUUGAAUGUCCUGGACAUUUAGGGAACAUUCGGUGAACAUCUGAUUAAAUUAUUCGUGGAAUGUUACCAUAAGACAUUCUGUGAACAUACUACCAAUGUUCCUAUAUGUUCAUUUUCAAAUUCACGGCGCAUGUAUUUGUGCAUGGUGCUUAGAGAGGGCAUCACGUGACUAAAAACGACCAAUGACCUCACUUCAGACUUCGGUGCUUCGGCCAUCUUGACAUGCAUCUUGGCCUUGGCCACCUUGCCGUGCGUGAUCGUUGUUUGUUUUUAUUUGUGCUUUUUAAGAAUAUUUUUUAAUUCGGAUACUUUUAUAAUAACUUUAAUAGUAUUAUUAAUAUAGUGCAUAAAAUCAGUUGGAGUAGCAGAAGCAAUGUAGAUAAAAAAUCUGCAGGAAUAAUGUUUCAAAGCUUUCCAGAAGAUCCUGCAAAGAAGGCAUGAAGUAUUGAUCAGAUUUGUUAAUAGAGCAGUAUGUUCAAAACAUUUUUUAGAAAAAGAUAUUGACAGAACUUCACUUUCAACCGUUUGAGAGACUGUGCUGUUCCAAUAGCUUAUAUCACACAGAAUCAGCUGAGAGAAGUGGUCUACAAAAAACCAGGAAGGAAAUGGAAUAUGUGGCUAUGAAAGGCAAAAGAAAGGUUUACAAAGCAAAUGUGACACAUUUUUUUAUAGGAAUAUCAGUAAAUUACAUUAAAAAAAUGUAUGAAAAGAUUUUUUGCAAUAAAAAUGUUUAUAUUUAUCAAGGAUGCAUUAUUUGGUAUGGCCACAUAUCGUCAGUGAUGUGACAAUACCUCCUAUCUGUUUUUUCAUGAGAUUUGUAAGAUAGACUAAAAACUUGUUUGGGCCACCUCCUGUUUUCAUAUAUUUUUUGACUUGUUUUGCAGUAAAUUUAACUAUCUAUUUACUACAAAACAAGCCAGAACUUACGUAUGCAAACAGGAGGUGACCUUAAAAAAUGUUUUUCGUCUCCUGCAAACCUCAUGAAAAAAGAUAUAGGAGGUAUUGUCACAGCACUGACGAUAUAUUUCAGAGAAUGUCUAAAAAAUAUACUGUGAAUGUUCAAAGAACGUUCGUAGACAUUCAUGGAAUGUUCCAACAAGACAUUUAGUCUAAAAAAUAUACUGUGAAUGUCCAAAGAACAUUCAUGGAAUGUUCCAACAUUCAUGGAAUGUCCCAACAAGACAUUCAGUCUAAAAAAUAUACUGUGAAUGUCCAAAGAACAUUCAUGGAAUGUUCCAACAAGACAUUCAGUCUAAAACAUAUACUGUGAAUGUCCAAAGAACAUUCGUAGACAUUCAUGGAAUGUUCCAACAGAACAUUCUAAGAAUAUUUAAAAUGCUGACACAGCACAUUCCAGGGACUUUCCAGGGACAUUCGUGUGCAUUUGGGGACAUUCCAGGAAUGUUUGGAAUGUCCUGUGAGUACAUUCUAGGAACAUUCAUGGAAUGUUUUGUGUUAUUAGGGUUGUGCACCCCAUAAAAAUUUUAUGGGGGUUUUGAUCCCUUAGAUCCUCCCAAACUUUUGUGUACGUUCCAAUUCAAUUUUAUUAUUGUGGUACCAUUAGUUAAAUUCAAUAUUUUUGUUUCUUAGUAUUUUUCAGAUAAGGCAGUUUUUAUCGAGUUGCGACUUCUUUUUUAACAUGUCUACAUAAAAAUUGUAUGGGGGUUUUGUUCCUUUAAACCCCCCAAAUGUUUGUGUACGUUCCAAUUAAACUAUUACUGAGGUACCAUUAGUUAAACAGAAUGUUUUUAAAACAUUUUUGCCUCUUUGUAUUUUUUCGAUAAGGCACGUUUUAUCGUG
rnacentral:lncRNA from 1 species